UACGUAGGGGGCAAGCGUUGUCCGGAUUUAUUGGGCGUAAAGAGCGUGUAGGCGGCUAGAUAGGUCCGUUGUGAAAACUCGAGGCUCAACCUCGAGACGUCGAUGGAAACCAUCUGGCUAGAGUCCGGAAGAGGAGAGUGGAAUUCCUGGUGUAGCGGUGAAAUGCGCAGAUAUCAGGAAGAACACCCGUGGCGAAAGCGGCUCUCUGGAACGGUACUGACGCUGAGACGCGAAAGCGUGGGGAGCAAACAGG
rnacentral:rRNA from 1 species